rnacentral:rRNA from 1 species
CUACGGGAGGCAGCAGUAGGGAAUCUUCCGCAAUGGACGAAAGUCUGACGGAGCAACGCCGCGUGAGUGAUGAAGGCUUUCGGGUCGUAAAACUCUGUUGUUAGGGAAGAACAAGUGCUAGUUGAAUAAGCUGGCACCUUGACGGUACCUAACCAGAAAGCCACGGCUAACUACGUGCCAGCAGCCGCGGUAAUACGUAGGUGGCAAGCGUUAUCCGGAAUUAUUGGGCGUAAAGCGCGCGCAGGUGGUUUCUUAAGUCUGAUGUGAAAGCCCACGGCUCAACCGUGGAGGGUCAUUGGAAACUGGGAGACUUGAGUGCAGAAGAGGAAAGUGGAAUUCCAUGUGUAGCGGUGAAAUGCGUAGAGAUAUGGAGGAACACCAGUGGCGAAGGCGACUUUCUGGUCUGUAACUGACACUGAGGCGCGAAAGCGUGGGGAGCAAACAGGAUUAGAUACCCUGGUAGUCCACGCCGUAAACGAUGAGUGCUAAGUGUUAGAGGGUUUCCGCCCUUUAGUGGUGAAGUUAACGCAUUAAGCACUCCGCCUGGGGA